rnacentral:rRNA from 1 species
GCCGGGGCUUCUUCUGCAGGUACCGUCAUUAUCUUCCCUGCUGAAAGAACUUUACAACCCUAAGGCCUUCAUCGUUCACGCGGCAUGGCUGGAUCAGGGUUGCCCCCAUUGUCCAAGAUUCCCC